GUCCACGCCCUAAACGAUGCUCACUAGGUGUUGGGGAAGCGAUUCCUUGGUACCGUAGCUAACGCGUGAAGUGAGCCGCCUGGGGGAGUACGGCCGCAAGGUUAAAACUCAAAGGAAUUGACGGGGACCCGCACAAGCGGUGGAUGAUGUGGAUUAAUUCGAUGCAACGCGAACAACCUUACCUACCCUUGACAUGUCUGGAAGGCUGCUGAAAGGUGGCUGUGCUCGAAAGAGAACCGGAACACAGGUGCUGCAUGGCUGUCGU
rnacentral:rRNA from 1 species